CCCAUUAUCACUUGCUUUCAACGGCAGUAUUUCAUAAGACUGCAUGUUUAGGGAGGAAUGCACUGUUGCUUGGUAUAUCCAGUUUGGUUAAAGGAGGAAUGCAUUAAAAAUGCACCGCCACCGGUUUGUGUCAUGUGACUCAAAACAGAACUAAUAAAAAUGUGAAAUUUGAGGAAAGCAGUUAUUUCCAUUUAUCGAGGGACUUACAACUUCACCUGUGUGUGAACAAAAUGGAUUGGGUGGUCUAUUUGACAGCUACCAAGAUGAGUAGAAAAACACUGACAAUUGCAGUGUUAAGUUUAGUGUUUUGUAGCGCAUCAGCUGAGUCAGCAAACUCACCUACAACUGAAUCUAUGACUGUCACAUCAUACUCACCUGCACAAACGACACAAUUCUGCUUACAACUGACACAACAGCAUAUACAAUACUGUUCAACAACAACUGAAACUCUGUUUACAACCACUGCCAAACCAACACAAACACCUGAAUCAACAAACUCACCUAUAACUGCAACAACUGAAUCUACGACUGUUAGAACAAACACAGCUACAACUAAAACUCGGCUUACAACUACAAGCCUUCCUACAGAAAAAACAACACAACUCACAACUGAGCAAUCAACUACAUCUGAACAAAGCACCACAAUGCAGUCAGCAAAUUCAUCCCUACCUACAACAAGUACAGCUCAAUCUACAACUGAGGUUACAACAAACUCACCCACAACUACAACUCUGCUUACAACUACAGCUCCUCCUACAGAAACAACAACAACACAACUUACAUCUACGACUGAACCAAAAACCACAACUGCUGCAACAUCUACAACUGAACCAAAAACCACAACUGCUUCAACACCUACAACUGAACAAUCAACUACAUCUGAACAAAGCACCCCAAAGCAGACAACAACAUCAUCCCUACCUACAACAAGUACAGCUCAAUCUACAACCGUGGUUACAACAAACUCACCUACAACUACAUCUCGUAUUACAAUUACAGCCCCUCCUACAGAAACAACAACAAAACUUACAUCUACAGCUGAACCAACAACCAUAACUGCUUCAACACCUACAACUGAACUAUCAACUACAUUUGAACAAAGCACCCCAAAGCACACAACAACAUCAACCCUACCUACAAAAAGUACAGCUCAAUCUACACCCCUGGUUACAACAAACUCACCUACAACUACAUCUCGGAUUACAAUUACAGCCCCUCCUACACAAACAACAACAAAUCUUACAUCUACAGCUGAACCAACAACCACUAUUGCUUCAUCAUCUACAGCUGAACCAACAACCACAACUGAUUCAUCAUCUACAGCUGAACCAACAACCACAACUGUUUUAACAUCUAUGACAGAACAAUCAACUACAUCUGAACAAAGCACCCCAAUGCAGACAACAACAUCAUCCUUACAUACAACAAGUACAGCUCAAUCUACAACCCUGGUUACAACAAACUCACCUAUAACUACAUCACAGGUUACAAUUACAGCCCCUCCUACAGAAACAACACCAAAACUUACAUCUACAGCUGAACCAACAACCACAACUGUUUUAACAUCUACAACAAAACAAUCAAUUACAUCCCAACACAGCACCACAACACAGACAGCAACAACAUACCUACCUACAACAAGUACAGCUCAAUCUACAACCCUGGUUACAACAAACAUGACUGUUACAUCAAGCUCAGCUACACAAACGACACAAUUCUGCUUAAAAGUGACACAACAGCUGAUACAAUACUGCUCAGCAACAACUGAAACUCUGUCUACAACCACUGCCAAACCUACACAAAAACCUGACUCAACAAACUCACCUGCAUCUGCAACAACAGAAUCUAUGACUGUUACAGUAAACUCAGUCCCUUCCACAGAAACAACAACAACAACAACACAACUUACAUCUACGGCUGAACCAACAACUACAACCAGAGCUCAAUCAACAACAACCCCAGGCACAACCCAGACAGUUUUUGUUAGUUUUUCCAGCAGUGAAAUUUUUGUCUCUGAUCUGUCAAAUCCAGCUUCAGAAGCAUAUAAAAACAGAGAAAAGAAUGUCAACGAUACGUUGACACCAUUCUUUACAAAUGCAUUGCCCUCCUUCAAAGGACUGGCAGUUAUUCAGUUCCGGUGAGUAUGUCUUCCCUUUAAAUAUGAAAACAUUUCAUUUUCAUUUUCAUUUUCUUUGGUUUACUGGAAAAUCUAGACAGCUAUUUUCUGCUUAUUUGUACAUUUAAAAAAAAAAAAAAUUUGAUGUCCAAACAUUCCUUAGGGGUCACAUGAAGUGACAGAGGCAACAACAUUUGAAAAAAAGAAUGUUUGUAAAUCUAAAAUUGUGUAUAAUCAUUUUAAAACAAUUAUUAUUAUUAUUAUUAUUUUUUUAAUGAAGCAUUUAAUACAGGUACACAGGAUCUGAAAAGGUAAGUUCACCCAAAAAUGAAAAUUCUCUCAUUACUCACCCUCAUGUCGUUCCAAACCUGCUCUCUCACCCUGGAUAGACAGCAACGCAACUGCAAUGCAGUUUUCAUUUUUGGGUGAACUAAUGCUUUAAUGCCACAAGAAAACUACAGCAAACAAAAAAUAGCAGCAUAAACACUUCUUCCAAACUUCUAUAGCCUAAGUGGUUUCAGUAUUGAGCCUUGCAUUUAAAAAAUGACAAUGACUCUCUCUUCUCUUUCCCUUCUGUAGUAAUGGGUCAAUCAUCACUGAUAUGAAUGUGACAUUUGGAACCUUACCCAGUGAUGUGGAGAUAGAAAACACUAUUAUGAAAGCUAAUGCCACUCUCAGUAUCACCAGUGUAACAAGUAAGUCAAACAAAGAACAUCAUCAGUAUAUAAUACAAAAGAUUUUACAAUGUGUUCUGUGUUUUUAUUUAACUAAAGCGGUUGCACUGCUGCAUCUUGCUGAAGGUAUUUUUCUCAACUUUUAUUUUUAUUUUUCAUAUUCUACAAAAUAACCAAACCCACACAACAGUAUGGAAGCCCUUCACCACAACUACCAAAGCCACUACAACCAGUUCCACUACAAUUACAACUACAACCACACCUAACACAACAACAGCAGCAGCAACAACAACAACCACAACAUCUACUGCCAAUCCUAUUACAACAGCAACAACAACAACCACCACCACAACAUCUACUGUCAAUCUUAAUACAACAGCAUUAACAGCAGUCACAACAUCUACUGCCAAUCCUAUUACAACAGCAACAACAACAACCACAACAUCUACUGCCAAUCUUAAUACAACAGCAUCAACAGCAACCACAACAUCUAAUGUCAAUUCGAAUACAACAGCAUCAACAGCAACCACAACAUCUACUGUCAAUCCAAAUACAACAGCAUCACCAGCAACCACAACAUCUACUGUCAAUCAGAAUACAACAAUAUCAACAGCAUCCACAACAUCUAUUGUCAAUCCUAAUACAACAGCAUCACCAGCAACCACAACAUCUACUGUCAAUCCAAAUACAACAGCAUCAACAGCAACCACAACAUCUACUGUCAAUCCUAUUACAAUAGCAACAACAACCACAACAUCUACUGCCAAUCUUAAUACAACAGCAUCAACAGCAACCACAACAUCUACUGCCAAUCCUAUUACAACAACAGCAACAACAACAACCACAACAUCUACUGCCAAUCCUAAUACAACAGCAUCAACAACAACCACAACAUCUACUGCCAAUCCUAAUACAACAGCAACAACAACAACCACCACCACAACAUCUACUGCCAAUCUUAAUACAACAGCAUCAACAGCAACCACAACAUCUACUGUCAAUCCUAAUACAACAGCAUCACCAGCGACCACAACAUCUAUUGUCAAUCCUAAUACAACAGCAACAACAACAACCACCACAUCUACUGCCAAUCCUAAUACAACAGCAUCAACAGCAACCACAACAUCUACUGUCAAUCCUAAUACAACAGCAUCACCAGCGACCACAACAUCUAUUGCCAAUCCUAAUACAACAGCAACAACAACAACCACAGCAUCUACUGCCAAUCCUAAUACAACAGCAUCAUCAACAACAACAACCACAACAUCUACUGCCAAUCUUAAUACAACAGCAUCAACAGCAACCACAACAUCUACUGCCAAUCCUAAUACAACAGCAACCACAGCAUCUACUGUCAAUCCUAAUAAAACAGCAACCACAACAUCUACUAUCA
ensembl:lncRNA